GGGCCAGUAAAUCGCAGCAAGUUGACGCACUAGGGGCGUAGGCGGUGCAUCUCUGCCAGUCGUCUCGGUCAACUCACAGCACCUGGGUCUGUACCGUGAUCUCCUGCCAGCAGCAGCGAGCCUCUGACACUUCAGCUCGCGGUUGGCGGUGGAGCUGCGGCCCUUGGUGCGGAACCUCGGCUCAAACUUCUUGGGAGCUUUUGGGUCGAAACCCUGCACAGAUAAGCACACGGGGCCAGACGGCGGUGGCACUCAGGGCGCGCGCGUGCUCGUGUCAGGCGCGAGGCGUCGCUCCCACGGGAGCCGAGCGCGUGUUGGAGGAGGGAGAUGCCCCGGGGUGCACACGCGCACCGGUUGAGUUCCCUGCAGCGCAUGCCAAGAUCUUCAAGUGCCGGAGAAAGCCGUUCUAAACGAGAAGUCAAUCCAGCCGAGAUCCGUCACGGGAACCCCCUCGGAAUGGAUAAAUCGCAGCCGGCGAACCGGGGAAAUAGAGAGAGCUCUUUGCUGUGCAUAUUAUUAGCGGGCAGGCAUGUCUAGUGUUGGCAUGGUGGUUGGCUCGAGUUUUCCUGCUCGCAAUCCACGUCAGCCUGAUGAUGAGGCACCAUCGCGCCGCGCUUUUAAGUGUGGGAGGAAUGCAUGCGCGUACACACACACGCACGCACACGCACACACCGAGAACACUUAAACAUUAUCUGCGACACAACUCAAUAAUUCAUUAAAAAGCGCGGCUUUUGGGAUCUUUAAAAGGUUUUAGAGAACGAAGUAAAAUACCAAAAAUACACGCAGUGGCGGGGCGAUGGCAGCGGCCACCACCGCUAAGAGUGUACCUUUCAAUUUUUAACGCAAAGUUUUAGUCGUGGGGUUUUUUUUCUUUGCGUCGCACUAAUAAAACAAAAAAAAGCGCAACAGCGAAAAGACCACGGCAAAAUCACUGCAGUGGGGGCCACAACACAUGCAUUUUUCACGCGCCCUGGUAUUAAUAUUAAUACUAAUAGCAAGCAUGCAGGUUUCCGUGGCCUGGGAUAUUCCUCGGAGGACGCGUCUCACGAGGAAACCCACUCGAUCGCAGCAUUGGCGCGACUCUUUCCAAAAAAAUAAAAUAAAAGCAUGGAUUAAAAAAAAAACACCACCCGUAACCGCAAAAAGGUAUUUACAAGAAUAGCUCUUUAUUAAUUGAUGCGGUAAGGGGGGUGCGACUGCGAGGUGCAGCGAGGGAAAUGCAGCGUGCCGCGAUUCGCUUUAAUAAAACAUGGGCCCAGAA